GUACUGUAUUGGACUACCGUGGCUGUGACGGGUAACGGGGAAUUAGGGUUCGAUUCCGGAGAGGGAGCCUGAGAAACGGCUACCACAUCUAAGGAAGGCAGCAGGCGCGCAAAUUACCCAAUCCUGAUUCAGGGAGGUAGUGACAAGAAAUAACAACACUGGAAAUUUCAUUUCUAGUGAUUGGAAUGAUGGGAAUCUAAACCCCUUUCAGAGUAACAAUUGGAGGGCAAGUCUGGUGCCAGCAGCCGCGGUAAUUCCAGCUCCAAUAGCGUAUAUUAAAGUUGUUGCAGUUAAAAAGCUCGUAGUUGGAUUUCUGCUGGAAGCAGCCAGUCCGCCCUUAGGGGUGUGCACCUGGUGAAUUCUAGCAUCCUUCCGGUGAAGCUCUCCAUACUUCAUUGUGUGAAGUGUGUCUCCGGAACAUUUACUUUGAGAAAAUUAGAGUGUUUCAAGCAGGCUUGUUGCCUUGAAUACUGCAGCAUGGAAUAAUAAGAUAGGAUUUCGGCCCUAUUUUGUUGGUUUCUAGGACUGAGGUAAUGAUUAAUAGGGACGGUUGGGGGCAUUCGUAUUUAACU
rnacentral:rRNA from 1 species